ensembl:lncRNA
CCUGAUUGGGCAGUCUUCCUGUCUGUGUGAUUACUUGCAAACAUACAGACUAUGUGUGCAUAAAGGUUUGUGGGAUCCAGCUUAGCUCUCUUUAAGAAAUUCCACUUUCACACACACAUCAGAUUUUCUGCCACAAGAUGCUAUUGUAUGCAUCCUAAAAAUUGCUAUUUAAGAUACAAAACUUGAUAAUUCCUGGUAAGGUCAAUGAGAAUUGCUGAUGCUUAAUUUCUCAGAGAGGUACCAAAGCAAGGUAUUUUCUGUGUAGCUAAAUCCCAUCAGUAUUACGGAGAUAAUGGCAUGUGCACUGGAAGGAAAAUAGCCGGCUCAAAGAUGAGAGGAGACCACAUUUUUACAUAAACAGCAGUUCAGCUAUUGAUUUUUUUUUAAAAGUAAGGCUUCAGCUGAAACCUUUCAGCAGGUGCUGUAACACAGAGCUUCGGGCAGAAGCUGAAUUUCAGGAAAUCAGAUGGAAUCUUAAUUCUACCUUAGAUUUCUGGCUGACCAUUUGUGGACUGCUAAGCACUGUUUCAAGUGACUUGAACCUGAAUUGCAGAUAGUGAACAGAUCACAAAUGGCAAAUGUCAUUUUUUAAACAACUCUGGCUGCUAUUUUAUCUGGAUUUUUUUUUUUUUUUUUUUUUAAUUUCAGCUUCAUCUGGUUGGGUCAACUCAAAUGCAAUUAAAUUAAAGAGAGCUAAAUUCCAUUUUUAGUGUUCACAUCAAUUAGUAGAUCAAGUUAAAGACAGGUAGACACAUCUAGGAGCUUAUUUUGAUCUGCAAACUCAUGUCAAGGUUGCAGACUGUCUGGAAUCGAGUGUUACUUUGUUAUUUAACUUGCCUUCAUAACUCAAAGUGAAAACUUAAGUCUCAUUCUUGCAAAUACAAGAGACUAUUGUUGCUGAUCUCCACCCUCUAGAGUCUGAUAUCCCUCAGUCAACAGGGUUGAAAUUCUGGCCUUGCUGAAAUUGAUGACAAAACUAUUAACAUCCAUGGGGCCAGAAUGUAACUUGAAGAAUCUUUCUCAAACCAGAAAAGUCCUUCUAUGUUCAAGAAACUUUUAGACUGUGACCAGCUAUGUGGCAGACUUCUGUUAACUCUGGGGUGAUUUACAGCAACAAAAAUGUCUGCAAGAUGCGCUUUGCUGAAGCGUGCAGCAGGAGUGCUCAGCAUGCAGGAGUGCCAUUCAUUGUAGUCAGACACACUCUUUGAAAUCAUAUGCUCCCAGCAGAUUAGUAAGAGUUUUAAUCUCAAAAGACAAAUCUGCCCCACCAUUGAAUUCAUGGAGAGCUGCAUUCCUCACGCAUGAGUAUAUGAAAACCUUGUUGUCCCGGCUGCACUGCUAAGGACUUCACAGGGCAAUGUGUGUGUCCUCCUCACAAAGACAUUGUGCCAAACCAGAGCUUUCAUUUUUUCUCAAUUCAGAAUAAAAUUAUCAGGGUUUUGGUCCUGCACAGGCACACUUGUCCAGCAAGAGUAGACAAGAACCAGAAAUUUUUAGGAGCAGAAAGUGGCAACGGCAGAUAAUCACUGUUGAGAUAAAAAUUCUCAGCAACGCUCAACUCGCAGGAGAAUAAACUGGAAGUUUUGAUAAACAGCCCUCGCUCUGCUUUGAUGCCUGCCCACACAAAGCCACUGUUUUCUGUAAAACAUUUUGCCCUUGUUUGCUUCUAAUGUAAAUUUGAGGUCACUUGGUAGAAAUGCAACACCAUAGGGAGAUAUGAACACUCAUGGAAUUAGUGAAUGCUUGAAAAGGUAAAAUUCCUAUCCUUGCUGUAGUGAUUAUGAAUACCAGAUUUUUUGUCGUGUUUUUCUCUCUCCAUCUCUCUCUUUUUUUGUUGUAUAUAUAGCCAGUGAUAUUAAUGGCACUCUCGUGUCAGACUUAUUUUUCUAAAUGAAUACUAAGAAUGUUUAAGAGUUCACAUAAUCCAUCUCUAGAAAGGAUAUUUAGCUAAUCUUUCUCAUUUAAUAUACACACAAAAAACUAGACAGGUUUUCACCCAUAAACCUCUGUGGCAUAAAAUGAACAACAGCAACUUUGCCAGCAGUCCAUUUUUAUAAAUAUUCUGCUCAAACAUUUUAGACACGUUCUUUUUCUGGAACUUUAAUAUUCUGGAGGUGAUAAGCUUACACCUUGGAAGCAGCUGACAGUUUGUAAACUCAAGUGAUGAUGACUGCAGAAGCCAAAAUAUUUCUUGUCGUAAUACAUCAGGUCAACUCAUAAGAUGAUCUUGUUUGUUUGCAUUUCAAUGAGUUGCUAGUUGAGUGAUUUACACCAGCUGUUUCAAAAAGCAGGAUACAAGCGAUGUCCCGUGUAAUGAUGAGCUGAUGCUGGUUAAAACAUGGCCUUAGUGAUACGUGCUUAUUUGCUCACUUCUUCCACUUUUAUUUUGGUGGAAAGAUGUUCAGUUAAUUUUUUUUCUUUUGGUUUCUUUAUGAUUCUUCUCUUGCUGGCUUGGCCCAGUGCAAAGAACAUAGUUCAUAAGAGUAUAUAGAAAGAGCUAUUUUUGUGGUAUUACUGCCCUGCUAGCCCUAAUUAUCAUUAUGUCUCUUGAGAAAUAAGUGGUUCUAAUAGUCCUGGGCUUUUCCUAUCCAUGCUGCUUCUUCAGAAGAUAAUUGCUGUCUAUUUCAAACCUUUUCCCUGGCAGAGUAAGGAACGGUCAUGUCCUGUCUCCUCUCUUGCCUCUCUCCCCACCAUGCAUUAAUUUCUCUACAAAAAAUCUAAUAUAGCUCAUCUCUGCUUCUCACUGCAGGCUUCCCUGGCAACAACAACAGCUGAAAAACUUGUGUUUUCCUUUUUUAUAUACAUUUGCAGAUCUGUGAUAAGAAACAACAAAGUCAAAGGGUUCGAAAGUAAAAGUAUAGAAUGAAUUAGAUGUAAAUCUAUCCAAUAGCAAUGGUAUUUCAAAGAGUGUGUCUCAGCACUGCUUGCUGCCAGGCAGUUCAGAGAGAGCAGGAGAAUACCUACGCAUUUGGGCUCUCACGCUCUUUGACCUCCGACUACAGUCUAUCAAGUAUUUUAAAGCACUUAUUAUACCUCUAGUUAUAUUUCCAUAAAAUAUAGAAAUAUUUUCUUUGGGAAGACCAAAGCCUUAUAAACACACCGGGAAGAGCAACGUACAGCAAACAAUAACACAUAUGCUCUGAUCCUUCACUUGUUCCGUCCUGGUCCUCAGCAAGUCCUACAGUUGUGUGACAGAAAGGAGCACUCACGUCGCACAGGGAGGAAACAGCUGGUCUCUGGAUUUCCAGCGGGUAAACACAUAUGUCUUGAAUUAUUGUUCUGGAGCACAUGGGACGUGGAAAAAGAGCCUGGAUUUGUCCCCGAGCAUGGGAUCUACUACGACCUCCUGGUAUGAAGAAUCUAAACUUGUAGCCAGAACAUUUGAUGUUUUCCAUCACUGUGGCUGAUGCAGAUGUAUUCUUUGCUCUUUAAUGAACCCCAUAAAAAGUCAUUUGAGUCCUAGAUGUUUACUUUGUCUUGAUAAAAAAUAAGCAAGCAAUGCACACACAAAUGAAAUGGGCCAUUUAAAUGGGAUGGAAGUUAAAAGCAGCAGUACGUCUGCAUCAUCUGAAAAACAGGGAAAUUCAGAUCAGAGUAUAAAUGUUAUGACUUAGACUCUUCUUUCAGAUAAAUAAUGCAUUUAGCAGCUGUGUUCAUUUUUGUACUUGUCCACAUGGAUUGCAAGUUUAGGGUGCUGAAUUAUUUGAUUAACACACAGAUGGUAAACAUGAAUAAGAGUAUGCAAUAAAAUCUUACCGUAAAUGUAAAACGCCCUUAAAAAUCCUAGUAAAGCUGUAUGCAGAUUCAGAACUGAUGUAUUAUUAUGUCUGACCAACAAAGGGCAAGCAAAUCCAGGCAUCGGAAAUAAAAUAAAACAAGCAGAGUCUCAGAGUUACAAAUUUGUAUGUUAUGACAUAUGCAAAGGAUGUAUAUUAUAUUUCAGCAUGUGUAAUACCUUAACACUGCCUCCACAGUAUUGCUGCUGCCAAGUUUGUUCUGAGCCAAAAUAUCUACAGAUAGAAACAGAAAUACUGUAUACAUAGACAAAGGCAUUGAUAUCUGGAAGAUGAAGCAAAAUGCUUCAAGAAAAGCCAAGUCAAAGAUACUGUAUGUUUUGAACAGAAUUAUCCAGUACCUUGAUAAAAUAAGAGCAAGCUGGAUAGAUGAAGAUAUGACCCAGUAAGGAAGCAUUAUUCUUAACACCAGUAAUGUGUAGAGCUUUCUAAAGGCAAAGCUGAGAUAAUACACACAUUUUCAAAAGCAUUUCAGGAGUUUUUGAAAAUUGUGUCCUGGAUAGUCAGAAUGUAUCCCUUCCAUUACAGAUAAAGAAAAAAAAAAAUCCAUCAGUUUGAAGAUUUGUAUCCUGACACAAGGAUUUGUAUUCUGGCCAUCCAUUAGUCUUAGCCUAUCUGGUUCAUCCCAUUUGCAGAACCUACAAUUUUGUGGACUCUGAUGUGCUCUUUCUGAUAGACAGACACAGAAGGGUAACCCGGAGGUGCAGGCAUCUACUUAUACGCCGUAUGGAUGCAUUUUGAUAAUAACCACACGAGGGCAGAAAAGAACAGACAUCUGCGGACAGCCAGACGGCAGCCUGAUUUAAGAGAAGCGUCAAGUUCUGAUAUUUUUGUAAGGGAUUUUCUAUAUUUAUCCAUUCAAACGCACACACAUCUGGAAUUAUUUAAAUAUAAAUAUAUCGAUAGAACACAUGUACACAGUGAAUAUAUAUUUAUAGUGUGCAUUUGUAAAUAUGUAUUUCUGGCAAGUAUGAGGAAAAUCGGUUUGGUUUUAAUUUUGGAUUGGCCUCAGUAAGGAUCUGAGAAUAACAGAGGCAUAAAAACAACUGAACCAUAUUUCCCUCUCAUUAACAUAAGCUGACAGUGCUUUCUUCAGUCUUUACUACUGUACAGGUAGGAGGCUGCGAUUAAGCAAGACAAGGAUCAAACUCUGAAAUGGGGAGACCCAUACAAUCAUAAGGGUUUCCAUGAUCAGGGACACCCCCAUUUUACGAGCUUCAGAUGUCCUGUACUGAGCAACUGGAAGAAGCGAGUUUUGGUCAUAUAAAGCACAAGUCAAAAAAACGAACUUUGUUAUUACUAAUCUACACAGUUACACUGAAUACAUGGUGCAUACCAGUAUUUAAAAUCUCCCAGCCUCACUAAAUCAAAGUGAUCUCAGAUAUGCAAUACAUUUUUAUAGGCAGCCUUGUAAAAAUUAUUCGUCAUGCUUGUAUGUCUGGAAUGUGUCAACAACACUGCAGGCACUGAACCAGCUGAUAGUAAUUACUGGGGGGGGGGGGGGGGGGAGAAGAAAAGAAAAAGAAUUAGGAGCAAAAUUAACAACUGAAUUAUAUGAGGAAAAUUAAAAGAAGCUUAAUUGAGCAGAAGACCGAAAGCCACUUCCCCAGAAAUCCUAUCCCAGCUUACCAUCUUAUUCCUUGUACAGUGCCAAAUAAACCUAACGUUUCUGUUUCUCGUUGUUUCGAGGAUUAAUUAGUGGCACAACAAUUGGGAAACAAAUAAAAUAACAGAAAAUGCAAAGCAUUGUUAUCAUGAGCUUGAAGGUCCCUGAUCUGAUGUGGGUGCACAAGUGGAUGGCCUCUGCAUUGCGAACUACAUAGAAGCAAUACUUUAAAGGUGGUUGAUUUCUGCUUACCAUUACAUACUUAAAAUGAGGAGAAAAUAAUUGUAAUUAAAGUUUAAAUUAUGUUAUGAUGAAAUUCAAGACACAACUUGUGCUGGUUAAGCACCUCCUACCUUCUAUUGCUCUGUGGGGCACACUUCAUAGCUCGUUACUGAAGGGCAGCUGCAACACAAACAGCAAGAGCCCACCAGUGCUACAGAUGCUGCAGUACCUGUGAGUAACAACAGCUCGAUCACCACAAAUACUUAAUUACACAACUGAAGGAGAGAGAACAUGGUGCAAAUAUCAGCAACCUGAUGCUAAGCUGUGUUUUCUUUAGUGCUUAUUGCAAGCGAGAGUAACACGGUAUGUCGGCGCUCACUGGGCCGAGGGUCUGAGCCUCCGGCCUGGAUGACACAUUGCAGUACAGCACCCAGUACCUCUCCUCAUCCCCUGGUUUAAGCAUGAGGAGGACCAACAUUUCACACAGUCUAAUAGUGACAGGAUACAUGAGAAUGGCUUUAAACUGAAAGAGGGGAAUCUUAAGUUACAUGUUCAGGAGUUUUUUACUCAGAGGGAGGUGAGGCCCUGGCAUAGGCUGUCCAGAGAAGCUGCAGCUGCCCCAUCCCUGCAGGCAUUCAGAGACCAGGCCAGAUGGAGUCCUGAGCAGCCUGGUCUGCUGGGGCAGCCCUGCCCACAGCAUAGAGUUGGGACUGGAUGGUCUUUAAGGUCCCUUCCAACCCAAGCCAUUGUGGGAUUCUGCAGGGAGAAAAGCAGCACUCCUGGCAUGCCCCAGUGACACCCAGAAUGGGGCACUGGGAUUGCAGCGGGUGCCCUCAGAUGUCUGCAUGCAGAACCUAGAUGUAGCCUGCACUACUCAAAGCAAUCCAGCAGUUUGCUUUUCCCUUUUUUUUUUCUUUUUUCCUCCAUGGUUAGCUGCUCAGAAGAAAUACAGCUGAAGCAUGGUUUGUGCCAGCUUUGCUGGAGACAAGCAGCCCUGUGCAAGAGAAGCAUUUCUUUCUCUCCCUCUUAUUUUCUGCACUCA